rnacentral:rRNA from 1 species
AACAAGUAAUACACAAUCUUGGGGCAAAAUAAACAUUAGAUUAAAAAGCAACCUUUUAAGGGGUGAUGUGGUGAUAAAAAAAAAUAGGAGGCGGAGGGCAUGGCUUUGCAGGCGAUGGAUCCUUCUUGUUUCGGCCCUAUCAACUUUUGAUGUUAGGGUAUUGGCCUCCCAUGGCUUGAACGGGUAACGGGAAAUUACUUCUUUGAUUCCGGAGAGGGAGCCUGACAUACGGCUACCACAUCCAAGGAAGGCAUCAGGCACGUAAAUUACCCAAUCCUGACACAAGGAGAUAGUGACAUUAAAUAACAAUGCCGGGCCUUCGUAAGUCUGGUAAUUGGAAUGAAAACAAUUUAAACCCCUUAUCUACUAUCAAUUGGAUGGCACUCUGGUGCCAUUGCCUCCGUAUUUCCCCUCCAAUAGCGUAUAUUAAACAA